UAUCCUCGAGCUCGACCCUGCUCUCGGCCGACGUCGACGUCCGCGACGAAGACGCCGGCCGCGAACAGAUCGACGGCGAGAAACCUGCGACGUUAGAAUGAACUUCACCUUUUUCUACGUCCUGCAACAAAUGCGGUAGCCAAAUUUUGGUAUCGUAUUCUACUCUUCCCAAAGGUCAAAAGAAAUCGUAUAAUAUAAAUAUGGGUCAGGGAAUUCUUCCUUCUCGAGAAAUACAAUCUGUCUGAUAGCUUGAUGAUACUAAAAAUACUGAACUGCUGCAUGUGACGAAAUUUGGAAUAUGUCGAUGCAAAACGUCUAUCGUUGCAGAAGGAAAUCAUUUUCAGUAAUUUCUUUAAAUUUCUUUAAGGUGAAGUACCAUUCUCCUAGAUGAAAUUGGCCUGCACACAAUGCAACAUCUACGGUUUCAGAAGGAUGCUUUUCUCCUGCACACAGUACCCACCAAUAUUCGUAGAACACUAAAUGAACUAUUUCGAAACGGUUGGUUUGAAAAAUGUGAAAAUGUAGAAUUUCUACCGCGUUCACCAGAUUUCACUCCUUUACAUUUUCUCAUGUAAGGCUAUGUAAAAAGUAAUUUUUAUCGAGUUGAGCCAACAACACCUGCAGAUAUGAAACGUAGGAUUGUUCAUACGUGUUAGAAUCUAUCGACUACUACACUGGACAGAGUAGAGAAGUCCUUGAAAAAACAGACAAAAAGCUUUUGUGCAUUGAAAUAAAUGGAUUCGAACAUCUAUUACGAUAGAAUCCAUAUCAAUGAGACACUCACAUACAAACAGAAUCGGCACUUUUUAGAGCCAAUACUACGUGCACAAAGUCCGAUCGUGUAGCCGCCUCGCGAUUGUGUAUCUAGUUUACUAUCGACCGUAAGAUGGAUAUGACUUUAGAUAAAUAAACAAACAAGUAAAUGAAUAUCUAAGAUAAGUAAAUAAAUUUCUGUUCUUAAAAUGUGUGAAAAUAAUUUGCACCUAUAUUAUGAUUUAUGUCAAGUAUUAUGAUAUAUUCGUUCAUGCUAACUACUUUUUUCUGCUUAAACCAAGAUAUUUUAAACUUAUACUUUGAACCUAAUAAAUAUCAACGGCAUUCUUCAUGUAGGAAGUGAAUUGCAAUAUUAAAAUUUAGUUUUCUUUUUCUAUCAAGGUAAAAAGCAAAGGAGUGAAUAUAGAAACAACGAUUCAAGAACAUUUUAUGUACACAUACACAACGGAUAUUCUAAUCUGAUUUUAAUAUGAGUUUAAUUUAUUCUGUCCGUGACAAUUGUACGUUCUUUCUUUAGAAGAAACUAAACUGAACAAUAUAUGUAUAAUCUGAACUCUCUUGCAUAAUAAUUUUUCAACAAAUAAUAUUAGUAAAUUGGCAAAUUACAAUUUAUAAGCUCCACUUUUAUAAUUUUAUAAUUUUACGUCAAAUAGAACAAUUGAAUGACUUGUAAUUUGUAAAAUUUACUUCUAGAAUUUCACAUGUUUUAUCAUCAAGCUUAUUAUUGUCAUAUAAGAAGAUUUGUUAAUAUUAAUAACCUGUAUUUUAUGAUUUGUAAAAUUGUGCAUUUGUUCAAUUAAUUCAAUUACGUAAAAUGGCCAAAAUUACAAAAUAGUAUAAUACAAGUUUGCAUAAAAUUCAGAGAAACUAAAAUAUAAACAAAAAGGAUAAUACAAUUUCUAAGGAUUAUUUAAUUUGCCUAAAACGUGAAAGAGCUUUUGAGACAUUUUAUAUGAUAUUGAAGGAUAAACUCAUUUUAAUCAUACGUAGAGACUACAUAUCCGGAGUAACAUCGUAAUAUGAGAAGUGAAAAACAAGCAUAAAGAAAUAAGUAUUAAGUAUAUGUGUACGUACUUAUAUACUUGUGUGUAUUCGCACUAUACAAAUGGACGUAAAGAAAAUAAACGUGUACUGUAACAGCAAUUUAAUCAAGACACUAAGCAUAUGCAAGUACAUAUAUAUAUCAAUCGGGAAACUGACGAAGUUUUUGAAAUAUAAAAUCAUAUAACAGAUUUAUAUUAAUUUCAUAUAAUAAACUUCAGAACCCUUAAUAUAAUUUUU